UAAACUGUGGAGUACAUUUGAAAAUAAAAUUUUUAAUUAUGUUUGACAUCUCAGGCCCAGUGCUGUCAUCUCGUGUGAAAGUAACAUCUGUUUUGACAUCUCCAGUGGUAAAGACUUUAAAUCAGAUUCCACAUCCCUUAUCUGCUGGCUAAUCAGAAUGGAUGCCACAUUCUUCUUACCAACACAUUUUCAGAUCUGCUGCAGAAACACAUUCUGAUGUUGUCACAGACACAGACAUCAGUAAUUCAAAAUUCAGAACCACAGAAAUCUUCCUGGAGGUAAAAUCAAGAAAGAUUCUAAGAAACAGCUAUUCUGCAUCUGAAAGCACCAUGAUUUCUGAACUACCACAACCCUACUUCCUGUAAAUAAUAUUGUUCAUGCUUUC
rnacentral:lncRNA from 1 species